AUGUGUUGUGAAUCCAGGCAGCUAAAUCCGAAGUCGAAUCCUAUAACAUCAAGUACUUGCUUUUGAAGAUAGCGGACAUCCUUCUAGAGAGAUGAAUCAUUUGACGUUAGUGACUGAUGAUACUUUUGCAAGCUUGCUUGAGCUUGCUGCUAAUAAUGAUGUUGAGGGCUUUAAACUAUGGAUCGAGCACGAUCCUUUCAGUGUGGAUGAGGUUGGAUUAUGGUAUGGUCGUCAAAAAGGCUCGAAACAGAUGGUUAAUGAGGAGAGAACUCCAUUGAUGGUUGCUUCUACCUAUGGUAGCAUUGACGUUAUUAAGCUGAUCAUUUCAUCUUCGGAUGCUGAUGUUAACCGUGUGUGUGGCCGAGACAAAAGCACUGCCCUUCAUUGUGCUGCCUCUGGUGGGGCUGAUAAUGUUAUUGAUGUCGUGAAGCUGCUUUUAGCGGCCGGUGCUGAUGUUAAUAUGGUUGAUGCAAAUGGUCAUCUUCCUGUUGAUGUCAUUGUUGUUCCUCCGAAGCUUCGAGAUGUGAAAUUAACUCUUGAAAAACUCCUUGCAACUGAGAGUUCCUGUUUUGAUUCAAGGGUUGCAGCUGUUGCGAAUUCUGAUUCCCCUCCUCUGUCACCUUCACAGGAAAAUGGGUCAUUGUUUUCUGGUUCAGAUUCCCUGAUUAAGUCGAGGCCAACUGAUGCUCCUAUUUCUUUGGUGUCAGAGAAAAAGGAAUACCCAAUUGAUCCAUCUCUUCCGGACAUCAAGAACAGCAUCUAUUCAACUGAUGAGUUCCGAAUGUAUUCUUUCAAGGUGCGGCCUUGUUCGCGUGCCUACUCCCAUGAUUGGACUGAGUGCCCGUUUGUUCACCCUGGGGAGAAUGCUCGAAGAAGGGAUCCUAGGAAGUUCCAUUACAGUUGUGUUCCUUGCCCCGAUUUUCGCAAGGGGGCAUGUAGGCGUGGAGAUAUGUGUGAAUACGCUCAUGGUGUUUUCGAAUGCUGGCUACACCCUGCUCAGUAUCGGACCCGGUUGUGCAAGGAUGGUACUAGUUGUGCAAGGAGAGUCUGCUUCUUUGCUCACACAGCUGAGGAACUCCGGCCUCUUUAUGUCUCCACUGGUUCUGCUGUUCCAUCUCCUCGAUCUAGUACUUCAGGUGCUACUGCUAUGGAUUUUGCUGCUGCCAUGAGUCUCUUGCCUGGAUCACCUUCUUCUGUAUCUGUUAUUUCACCGUCUCCAUUCACUCCACCAAUGUCUCCGUCUGUGAAUGGCAUGCCUCAUUCUAAUGUUGGCUGGCCACAGCCUAAUGUUCCAGCACUGCAUCUUCCUGGGAGCAACCUUCAAUCUAGUCGCCUGCGAUCUUCUCUUAAUGCGAGAGACAUUCAAGCGGAAGACUUCAAUGUGUUGCCCGAUUUUGAUUUGCAGCAACAUCAGCUGAUAAAUGAGUUAUCCAGCCUUACUCAGCCAUCAAUGAGUUCAAGUUCUUUUAACCGAUCUGGUCGAAUGAAGACCAUGACCCCAUCAAACCUCGAUGAUCUCUUUUCUGCUGAGAGCUUAUCUCCGCGUUACUCCGAUCAAGCUUUGGCUGCUGCUGUUUUCUCUCCAACCCAUAAGUCUGCCGUUCUGAAUCAAUUUCAGCAACAGCAAAGUAUGCUAUCACCUAUUAAUACAAAUUACUCUCCUAAAAGUAUCGAGCAUCCUCUCUUGCAGGCUUCUCUAUCCGGUAGGAUGUCUCCUCGAAAUGUUGAGCCUAUCUCACCUAUGAGCUCGCGAGUUUCAAUGUUAGCUCAACGGGAGAAGCAGCAAGAAUUUCGCAGCCUAAGCUCUAGGGAGCUUGGCUCUGGCUUGGCUGCUAUUGUUGGUUCCCCGGUUAAUUCAUGGUCGAAAUGGGGAUCUUCCAAUGGGAAGCCAGACUGGGCUGUCAAUGCCGAUGGGGUAGGCAAGCAUCGCAGAUCCUCCUCGUUUGAGCAUGGUAAUGGAGACGAGCCCGAUUUAUCAUGGGUUCAGUCUCUUGUAAAAGAGUCUCCCACUGAGAUCAAAGACAAAAUAGCAGCACCGGUCUCAGGUGAGGGUUCUAGCAGGAACUCGGAUACAGUUGAUAAUGCCAUGCUGGGAGCUUGGCUUGAGCAAAUGCAGCUCGAUCAACUUGUGGCUCAGCAAAACUGAAAACUGUUUUAGCUGAGCCCUCCUGAGGUAGUUCAUCAAAAAAAGGUUUUGGUAAAUAACAUUUGUAUUUUUUCUUCGGAUUUUUGGAUUCUGUUGGUGAUUUAAUGUUGAAGGUAAAGAGGAACAAGGUGAAGGCAAAGAGAUUGAGGUCAGUUUGACGAAAGGAGGCUUCAAUUUUCAUUUAUUAUUAUUAUUACAACAAAGAGUUAGAACAGGAUGAGAAUAAUAUCCAUCAUGUUUAAAGAAAUUGACCAGUUUUUUUCUUUUCAUUAUAAUUUUUCUUCCAAUAUUUCUAAAUUAGAUUUCUGUUGCUGCCAUCUUAAAAUUUAUGAUACUUUGAUGAUGGUGGUGGUGAUGAUGAUGAUGAUGAUGUAACCUUCAACUGAAGUUUAUUGCUUAAUUUCUAUUCCAAAUAGCUUCGUUUUUA